rnacentral:rRNA from 1 species
CCUACGGGGGGCUGCAGUGGGGAAUAUUGCACAAUGGGGGAAACCCUGAUGCAGCGACGCCGCGUGAGUGAAGAAGUAUUUCGGUAUGUAAAGCUCUAUCAGCAGGGAAGAAAAUGACGGUACCUGACUAAGAAGCCCCGGCUAACUACGUGCCAGCAGCCGCGGUAAUACGUAGGGGGCAAGCGUUAUCCGGAUGUACUGGGUGUAAAGGGAGCGUAGACGGUGAUGCAAGUCAGAAGUGAAAGCCAGGGGCUCAACUCCGGGACUGCUUUUGAAACUGUGUGACUGGAGUGCAGGAGAGGUAAGCGGAAUUCCUGGUGUAGCGGUGAAAUGCGUAGAUAGCAGGAGGAACACCAGUGGCGAAGGCGGCUUACUGGACUGUAACUGACGUUGAGGCUCGAAAGCGUGGGGAGCAAACAGGAUUAGAUACCCUUGUAGUC